CUAGACCUAAGCGAUAGUGGCAUAGAGAGGAUUCCAGACUAUGUCAGCGGUCUCCAUCGGUUACAAACUCUUAUCGUCGAAAACUGUAGAAAACUCAUGUCCGUGGAGAAUCUCCCCAGUUCCCUCAAGUCCCUACAAGCAAACAAUUGUGUUUCACUUGAGAGAGUCGAAUUGUCAAUGUUACUACAAGAUUCAGAUUCAAUCAGGGAACUCAUGUUCCAUAAUUGCUUAAGACUCGAUAAAGAAGCAAGAAGAGUAAUCUUAAAUCGAAGGUAUUCCGAGUAUGUAUGCUUACCAGGUAAACAAGUCCCCGCUGAGUUCACUCACAAAGCUGCAGCAAACUCCAUAACCAUCUCUCCGGGGAACUUUUCCACUGCUUCUUCAAGAUUUCAGGUUUGCUUCCUGCUAUCACCAAUCAAGGCCAACGCACUUGUGAAUGU
rnacentral:lncRNA from 1 species